UGACCGCUGGCGGCGUGCCUAAUACAUGCACGUCGAGCGAACAGACGAGGAGCUUGCUCCUCUGCCGUUAGCGGCGGACGGGUGAGUAACACGUGGAUAACCUACCUAUAAGACUGGGAUAACUUCGGGAAACCGGAGCUAAUACCGGAUAAUAUAUUGAACCGCAUGGUUCACUAGUGAAAGACGGUUUUGCUGUCACUUAUAGAUGGAUCCGCGCCGCAUUAGCUAGUUGGUAAGGUAACGGCUUACCAAGGCAACGAUGCGUAGCCGACCUGAGAGGGUGAUCGGCCACACUGGAACUGAGACACGGUCCAGACUCCUACGGGAGGCAGCAGUAGGGAAUCUUCCGCAAUGGGCGAAAGCUUGACGGAGCAACGCCGCGUGAGUGAUGAAGGUCUUCGGAUCGUAAAACUCUGUUAUUAGGGAAGAACAAAUGUGUAAGUAACUAUGCACGUCUUGACGGUACCUAAUCAGAAAGCCACGGCUAACUACGUG
rnacentral:rRNA from 1 species